rnacentral:rRNA from 1 species
UACAGAGGUCCCGAGCGUUGUUCGGAUUCACUGGGCGUAAAGGGUGCGUAGGUGGUGAGGUAAGUCGGAUGUGAAAAUCUCCGGGCUCAACCCGGAAAUGGCAUUGGAAACUAUCUUGCUAGAGGAUUUGAGGGGGGAUUGGAAUACUUGGUGUAGCAGUGAAAUGCGUAGAUAUCAAGUGGAACACCAGUGGCGAAGGCGAAUCCCUGGAAAAUACCUGACACUGAGGCACGAAAGCUAGGGGAGCAAACAGG